rnacentral:ncRNA from 2 species
CGAGGUAGUAGUUUGUGCUGUU